rnacentral:rRNA from 1 species
CCUACGGGAGGCUGCAGUGGGGAAUAUUGGACAAUGGGGGGAACCCUGAUCCAGCGACGCCGCGUGAGUGAAGAAGUAUUUCGGUAUGUAAAGCUCUAUCAGCAGGGAAGCAAGAAAUGACGGUACCUGACUAAGAAACCCCGGCUAACUACGUGCCAGCAGCCGCGGUAAUACGUAGGGGGCAAGCGUUAUCCGGAUUUACUGGGUGCAAAGGGAGCGUAGACGGCGAUGCAAGUCUGAAGUGAAAGGCGGGGGCCCAACCCCGGGACUGCUUUGGAAACUGUAUGGCUGGAGUGAAGGAGAGGUAAGUGGAAUUCCUAGUGUAGCGGUGAAAUGCGUAGAUAUUAGGAGGAACACCAGUGGCGAAGGCGGCUUACUGGACUGUAACUGACGUUGAGGCUCGAAAGCGUGGGGAGCAAACAGGAUUAGAUACCCUUGUAGUC